GCCCAUUAGCUAGCCCACCACCCAAAACCAACAUACCCCCAUACAUACCCCCAAACACACUUAAUUUACCUCAAAACAAACCAUUUUUCCCCCUUAGUAUAGGCGAUAGAAAAGGACUUAAGGAGCAACAGAGAAAGUACCGCAAGGGAAAGCUGAAAGAGAAAUGAAACAACCCAGUAAAGCACAAAAAAGCAGAGAUAUCCCCU
rnacentral:rRNA from 1 species